rnacentral:lncRNA from 1 species
ACACCUCACUACUUACUAGCGGGUCGAACAAAGUUCGAAAGCCCAAAAGAAAAAAAGACACCGUAAAUGGUCAAUGUGUUUUCCAGAAAUUUAACAUAUAAUCCUUAAAUUAAAAAAACCUUCCAAAUGAUCUAUGUAGUUUCAAAACUUUUAUCAAACAUUUGUUUUUGUUAGUUUUUAGUUGUUAAGUAUCUAAAAAAUGUUUUGAAUUUAAAUAUUUUGAAAAACAUAUUAGACAUUUUUUAUUUUCAAAAAAAAAAAAAAAAUGCGAAGUCCGUAUAAAAUUGUCAAACCUACAUGAAAAAUUUCAGAUGAGGCGUACUGUUGUGUUUUGCUCUUGAGAAUGAGGCUCCGGCGAGAUUAGGGUUUUCCGAGAAAAACUUCUAUUUUGCCACUUAAUCAUCCGAUCAAGUAUGAGCCGAUGAUUUCGACGCCGAUUCUACUACUCUCUCUUUCUCUAUCUCUAUCUCUCAAAACAUAUAUACAUACACACACAUAAACAUAUACAUCACAGCUCUUCUCAAAUAUCUACAAAUGAUAAAGGGGGUGUUUGGAAUAGCUUAUUUAUUUCUUUAAGCUCUUUUUGAGUUAUUGCUGUUGCUGUUGUUGCUAAUUUAUUGUUCCGAUGAGGCGGUGACGAUGAGAUGUAGAAUGAGCAAUAUCGGAAUUUGGUGACCUGAUCUGUAUCUUGGCUGGGCAAUCCGGAUGGCAUAUGUUCAUUUGGAGAUUUCUCUUCGGAAAUCGAUAUGCAUUGCAACUGCGAUUGCAGCCAUGACGGAUUUGGGCAAAACAAAUUCGAUUACAACAGAUCUGAGCCUCCUUUCUACCCUCGCAUCCUGUUUUCCUGUCCAGGUACUUGUAAGCUUUUUUUUUAAUCCAUAUACUAAAGUAGAUAAAUUAUUCUCUUAAAAACAUAGUGAUUGAACGAAAUAUCAUGUUGCAGCCUACAUUGUUGAGAUUGAGAUAUAAUGUUAUAAAUAAAUUGUUGUUACAAUCUAGAAUUUUCAGCAAUUAUCAAACAUAUGUUUUCCCUACGCAUAUUUUCAAAUAGAAAAAAACUAGAUCGAAAUUUUGGUUUAUUUUUUUUAUUUUUAUUUAGUUUUGUUUCCUAGUUUAAUUACUAGAAUAUGUUUUCUUUUGAUUAUUAGAAUGUUAAGGAACUAGAAUAUUUUUUCUUUUGAUUAUUAGAAUGUUAAGGCAACAAGUUAUUGAGAACUUUAAAAUUAUUUUUUCUUCUAAGAAAUUUUUUCCUUCUGGAAUACAAUUUUAAACAUUUUAUUUUACACAAAAAAACUUAUUGGCAAAAGCUAUUCUGUUAUAUUACAUCUUUUAAAAGCCUAGAUCUUCCUUUGUGAAUAAGAACUCCAGCGAUCUCCUAUGAAGAAGCUAAUAGGCUAUCAGGUAGCCUGUAUGCUAGUUUGCCAUACAUUGACUCUAACAAAUGAAGGUUUUUUUUGUCACAUGUCACAAUCAUUCAAUUUGCCAAAUGUCAUUUUGCGGUUAUUUUGAAUUAACCCAUAUAAUAAAUGGGUCUCACAACUAGUAUCCUAUAUAUCACAACUAGUAUCCUAUAUAUCAAAGAGUAAAUUACAGAAAUGGUCCCUAUGGUUUAACCAAAGUUACAACUCUGGUUCACAACUUUGCUUCGUUUUGUUACAUGCGCAUCCCUGUGGUUAAAAAAAAGCUACGACGAUAAAAAAAAUUAUCUGAGCAAAUGAAAAUAUAUUGGCUGGGCAAUCCGGAGGGCAUAUUUUCUUUAAAUGUUAUAUGCAACUGUGAUUGCAGCCAUGGUGGGUUACUGGGUUUAGAUUACUCAAUUUCCCUUGAUCACAACAGAUCUGAGCUUUCAUCUACAAAAUCUAAUGUUGAUCAUUAGUAAAAGGCAACUGCAAGUGAUAGCGAUGUACUUCAUUGAUUUGUUUAUCAUCACAUGCUACUUUUAAUUAUUUCUAACACAACACCGUGUUUUGGAAAAUCUAUCCAAUUAAAGCAAUGGUGGUGGUGGACUGGUGGUGGUGGUGGUGGUGAUGGUGAUGAUGAUGAUGAUGAUGAUGAUGAUGAUGGUUAAGUUUAUGGAAAAUCUAUCCAAUUAAAGCAAUAUUAGUAAUAUUUUUAUGGAAAAGGCGAUGAUGAUGAUGAUGAUGAUGAUGAUGAUGAUGAUGGAUUGUAUUAUUCUAAGCAAAUAUGAAGAGACAUUGAAGAUUGGUUCUCUGUAUCUUGGCAGGGCAACUUCCUGAUGGCAAAGUGAGAAGUGACUUUGCAACUGUGUGUGUGUUUGCAGCCAUGACAGAGUCCCUAUCUUCUUUCUCACCAUUCCCUAAUUACAGAUCUGAGCCUAAGCAUAUUCCUGUUACACUUUAUUUUUUUAUUUUUUUCUUAAAGUGAUAUGGUUUUCUGAAUGAAAUAUAUGAAUUUUGUUUUCUGUAGUUGAUUAUUAUUAGAAUGGUGAACAACUGGGGAAGAGUUGUAAUAAGAAUAGAGUCUGUUUCUGUUCUUUAUAUGUUCACGUUUUUUGGGUUUCAUUCUUCUUUGUGUGACCAAACAAAAAGAUAAAAAGUUUCAGUUGAAUGUAAUUUUGGUGUUUUUUUUGGUGUUUAACUUGUCUCCCUUCCACAAUUGUUUGGUGCGUUUCAGUUGUUUAUUUUAAAAGGGUUGUGAUUCUUCUGUGUGUGUUUUUGCUGUGCUUUUAUUAUUCAUUGAUUUCGUGACAUUUGGUAAUCAGGGAAUUACAGAAGGGUGUGUUGGUUUUGCUUUGGAAUUAAAUACAAGUGUGUUGCAUUUUUUAAUCUGAUUUUUUGGAGAGUACAUUGCUGUUUUUGUCUAUAUAAGCUUAAGAUUGAAAUGCAAAACUUGAUUGGCAUCUACAAAUCUGAUUUUUGGUAUGGGAAAGGCUUCUUUUGGCUUAUUUGGGAAAAAAAGCUAUGGAGAGUACAUUGCUGUAGUUGGUGAUGACCACUUAGGUUUUUACAUUUGCAAACCAAAAUCAACAAAAAUAUAUACCUCCACAAGAGAAUUAAAUCGAUAUCUAAGGCAGGCUUAUGUUAAUGUUUUUUCUUUGAUUGAAUGCAAAAUACCAUACAUGAUUAAAAAUUAAAAUUGGAGGUUUAUUCUCAUUUGGUUCUUGUAUCGGUUCACCAUUAUUAGAUGAAAAACUUAUUUCAUAUUGGUUUCAAAAAAGAAAACCAAACGUUAUAAUUGCAUUAAAAAAUCUGUCACAAACUUGCAAUUAGUCAAUCAACGUAGUUAUGUCGAUAAGCCUGAUUAACCAAUUGAUUAUCAAACAUUGAAAAUGCAAUAUCGUUUUUCAUUAGAUAUGGAACAGUGGUUUGUCUGAUUGUCUAUAUCAUCUAAGAAUGUUUAAAUCAUUAGCACGUAUACCCAGAUAGAAAAGUAAAAAAACAAAUUGAAAAAAAAUAUAUAUUAAGAUACCAAGUCAAUGUGUGUUACCAUUCCAUCUUAAUACAAAAUGGAUUGUCAUGGUUCGAAAUGGACCCUUCACAUGUACAUUUAUAUAUUAGUUUUUUUUACAUAACUUCUUAAUGUUUUUUUAUUUUAAUCAAAGAUUUUGCUUUAUAAUAAUAGAAAGGUCUAUUUUGGUGUUAAAAUAGUAUAUGAAGAUUCGUACUACAACUUAAUUUCAUACAAAAUGUUUUUUUUAACAAAAAGUCAUGAUUUGCCUAAAAAUAUAAUCAAUUUCGCAUGGAACAAUAUAUUAUAACCUAAGUUUUUUUUUCUUCGAAAUAACAUCAUUAUGGACAUUUUAUUAGAGUAAACAUUAAUCGAAGACUUCAUUUAGCAAAAUAAUAUUUCAUUUUGUUGUAAAAUUGUCUUUGAAGUUUUGUAACACAAAAAAAAGGGUCAGAAAUAGCUUUUUCUUUUUUGAUAAUGAAUAAUGAUUUUCAUAAAAAUGUGAACAUUUUCAUAAUAUAUUUUCCCAGUAAAUAAAUUACGCCAUGUCAAGCUUACGAAUUUUCACCCACAAACUUUGCUUUAAUAAAGUAAACCUCUAUUGUGUUAUGGAAAUAUUUUUUAAACUUCGUCACAACAAAGUCCCAAAAAAUACCCUAUUAAACAUAAAGGGUUUUAUAAAAAAAGUUUCAUUAUUUUAGAAUUUUUUUAUGAAGUUUUAAAUGUUUUUUUUAAUAGAAAUUUUUUAUAAUUUUGAGGAAAUCAUAUAAUCUGUUACUUCCUGUUAAAAUAAAAAAAUAAUUUUUUGUUAAUUUGGGAAUAUGUUAAAUAAUUUUAGGACUUUAUAAUUUUUUUUUAAAAAUAAUAAGAUUUUUCUUUAUAAAACCCUAACAGAAUAAUCAUUGCUUUUCGUAAAAAUAUAGUAAGUGCAUUUUCGUAAAUAUAUGAUAAGAAUCAGGAUUUUCCUACAGAUUAUCAUACUUGUCAUACUUAAUAAAAUUAUUAAAAUUUUAUUAUAUUUAUCAUCAUUUAAAAAUACAGGAUGAUAGAUAUAAAAGAUAUAUAAUUUUUAUUUAAUUUCAUCUUUAAAAAAACAUUUUUUUUAAAAACAUGGCUUGAUUCCAUUUCAGCCCAACAACUAUUUGAAGGCUAAAUAUACGAAAAUUAUGCUUAUUUAGUUAUUUGGAGACAAAAACUUUUGGAAAACGAUUAAUAUAUUUUUUAAUAUCUGCCCUUUUCUUAAUAUGAAAUACUUCUUUUAAGCUUUAAUAAUUUUUGUAUUCAAACUUAAAAAACAAAUGUUUUAGUUGCCUCAACUUGUUUUUGAUUUCUUUUAAAGAAAUAUACUCACUCCAUUUUAAUUGUCAUUUCCAAAAACAAUACAUUAAAAAAAAAAUCAUAUAAGCCAUACAUGAUAGUUAUCAUCUUUCAGUCAUUUUUCAUAUUUCCUUGCUCAUUUUUAAUUCUUAAAUCUUAUAAUCCCAACAAAAGAGGUGUAUGGCCAUAUACAAAGCUUGUCCACUAAAUUUUUUUUGAGUAAUCUCUAAAGAAUCUCAAAUAGAUGCGUGUCCAGUUGGCUAUAUGAAAUAGCCUUUGACUUAUAAGUUUACAUUAAAUAACAUAUUUUCAAGGGAUUUUUUAAACUUAAAAUGGACCAGACUUGAUGGAACAAAUAAAAUGAUAUAUAUAUAUANNNNNNNNNNNNNNNNNNNNNNNNNNNNNNNNNNNNNNNNNNNNNNNNNNNNNNNNNNNNNNNNNNNNNNNNNNNNNNNNNNNNNNNNNNNNNNNNNNNNNNNNNNNNNNNNNNNNNNNNNNNNNNNNNNNNNNNNAAAGUCUUUUUCAAAUUGAUUCCUCUAUGUAAUAGAAUUUUGAGAUUCUGAUUUAUAUAUAUCAUUAUUUUCAUACGUUUCUCGAAAAAGUUACAUAAAAAGCAAAUAAACACUACACCAUAAAAAUAAAUCCGGUCAUAUUUUUGAAAAUAUUUGAUGUAAAAAACAAUCUUUAUUAUUACCGCAAGACAUUGUUAUUGGACCCUAUAUGACUUUUUUAAACAAUACAAUAAACGUUGUACAUAUUUUCAAACAAACAAAUAUUUUCUACUAUAAACAAACAGCCAUGUAUAUGAGUUUUCAUUUUUCUAUAACUCAAUGAUUUUUUUAUUCGAUAAUCAGCGUUUUACUGUUACCAAGUUGGUUAGUGGACCAAGUUUAAAGCCCAAAUAAAAAAAUGCGAUAUCACUACACACUGCUGACUGCUCAGUAUACAAGUAGAAAACCUAGCUGAAAUUCGCAGAUGACGCGUAACGUUGUUUUUUGCUCAAGCGAAUGAGGCUCCGGCGAGGGUGAUGAGGUUUCUGUCAGAGCAACUCCUCUUGCCAUUUGAUCCUCCGAUCAAGUAUUAGCCGAUGAUUUCGACGCCGAUUCACCACCAACUACUCUACCUUUGUAUCUCUCUC